rnacentral:rRNA from 1 species
GGAGGGUGCAAGCGUUAUCCGGAUUCACUGGGUUUAAAGGGUGCGUAGGUGGGUCUGUAAGUCAGUGGUGAAAUCUCCGAGCUUAACUUGGAAACUGCCAUUGAUACUAUAGAUCUUGAAUAUUGUGGAGGUCAGCGGAAUAUGUCAUGUAGCGGUGAAAUGCUUAGAUAUGACAUAGAACACCAAUUGCGAAGGCAGCUGGCUACACAUAUAUUGACACUGAGGCACGAAAGCGUGGGGAUCAAACAGGAUUAGAUACCCUGGUAGUCCACGCCCUAAACUAUGGAUACUCGACAUUUGCGAUACACUGCAAGUGUCUGAGCGAAAGCAUUAAGUAUCCCACCUGGGAAGUACGAUCGCAAGAUUG